rnacentral:rRNA from 1 species
GCAUAACACAUGCAAGUCGAGGGGCAGCUGGCUUGGUAGCGAUACUGGGUGUCAGGCGACCGGCGGAUGGGUGAGUAGCGCGUACGUAACCUACCUUGUACAGUGGGAUAGGCAUUGGAAACGGUGUAUAAUACCACGUAAUAUUACCAUUAGGCAUCUUUUGGUAAGGGAAGGGUUUUUACUUGGUAUAAGAUGGGCGUGCGUAGGAUUAGAUAGAUGGUAGGGUAAAGGCUUACCAUGUCUAUGAUCUUUAGGGGUUCUGAGAGGAAGGUCCCCCACAUUGCAACUGAGAUACGGUGCAAACUCUUACGGGAGGCAGCAGUGAGGAAUAUUGGUCAAUGGGCGGAAGCUUGAACCAGCCAUACCGCGUGCAGGAAGGCGGCCUUAUGGGUUGUAAACUGCUUUUAUAUUUGAAUAGAGAUUGUAUCGGGAAUACGAUUAGGAAAUUAGGGUACGAAUAAGUAUCGGCUAACUCCGUGCCAGCAGCCGCGGUAAUACGGAGGAUACGAGCGUUGUCCGGAUUUAUUGGGUUUAAAGGGUGCGUAGGCGGUUAAUUAGGUCUAUGGUAAAAUAGUUAUGCUUAACAUGAUUAUGCUGUGGAUACCGGUUGGCUAGAAUAUAAGUGGCGUAGGCGGAAUGAAGCGAGUAGAGGUGACAUUCAUAGAUAUGCUUUGGAACACCGUUCGCGUAGGCGGCUUACGAGGGUAAUAUUGACGCUGAGGCACGAGAGCGUGGGUAUCGAACAGAAUUAGAUACUCUGGUAGUCCACGCUGUAAACGAUGAUAACUAUAUGUCGGCGAUAUAAUGUCGGUGUAGGAGUGAAAGCGAUAAGUUAUCCACCUGGGGAGUACGAUUGCAAGGUUGAAACUCAAAGGAAUUGACGGGGGCCCGCACAAGCGGAGGAGCAUGUGGUUUAAUUCGAUGAUACGCGAGGAACCUUACCCGGGCUUGAACGUGAGAUGGAUAUUACAGAGAUGUGGUAGUUAUUAGAUAACGUCUUGCGAGGUGCUGCAUGGUUGUCGUCAGCUCGUGCCGUGAGGUGUCAGGUUAAGUCCUAUAACGAGCGUAACCCUUGUUGAUAGUUACCAGCGCGUAGUGGUGGGGACUCUAUUGAUACUGCCGGUGUAAGCCGUGAGGAAGGGGGGGAUGACGUCAAAUCAGCACGGCCCUUACGUCCGGGGCGACACACGUGCUACAAUGGUUAAUACAGAGGGCAGUUAUACAGAGAUGUAACACGAAUCUUUAAAGUUAGUCAUAGUACGGAUUGGAGUCUGCAACUCGACUUCAUGAAGAUGGAUUCGCUAGUAAUCGCAGAUCAGCCAUGCUGCGGUGAAUACGUUCCCGGGCCUUGUACACACCGCCCGUCAAGCCAUGGGAGUUGGUGGUACCUAAAGAGCGUAACCGAUGAGGGGCGUUUAAGGGUAAUGCUAAUAACUGGGGC